ensembl:snoRNA
AUCCUUUUGCAGUUACAUGUAAGGAUUGGGUUUUCACCCUUAUGAGUGAGAUGCAAGCCCUCUAACAUUGUUACAUAUCAGCACAUUACCCAUCUGACA